rnacentral:miRNA from 1 species
UGGCACUUCAAUUGGGCUGACU